AAAGGGAGACCUAAUUCAGGUAAAAGACGAAAAAAAAGUAGUCGCUACCAAGAAUCAAUCCCAAAAGGUCGGAGCGAGGCGAAAUUGGCUUUCAAACUAGGUUCUGGGUUCAAACAAGACCUGAAUCAGGAACAAGGGCUAUUAGCUCAGGUGGUUAGAGCGCACCCCUGAUAAGGGUGAGGUCCCUGGUUCGAGUCCAGGAUGGCCCACCUGCACAGGUGGCAAAAACAAGAGAAGCGAGGAAUCAGCACCCUAUCUUACUGACAUAGUAAGAGAGAAUGCUGGCUCUGAGUAAAGAGUCCAGAGGAACCUUGAAAACUGCAUAGAGCUAGGUGAAAAAGCCAAAAAAGAAGACCGCAAG
rnacentral:tRNA from 1 species